rnacentral:rRNA from 1 species
CAAGUCGAGCGCAUCCUUCGGGAUGAGCGGCGGACGGGUUAGUAACGCGUGGGAACGUGCCCUUCUCUAAGGAAUAGCCUCUGGAAACGGAGAGUAAUACCUUAUACGCCCUUCGGGGGAAAGAUUUAUCGGAGAAGGAUCGGCCCGCGUUAGACUAGAUAGUUGGUGGGGUAACGGCCUACCAAGUCUACGAUCUAUAGCUGGUUUUAGAGGAUGAUCAGCAACACUGGGACUGAGACACGGCCCAGACUCCUACGGGAGGCAGCAGUAGGGAAUCUUGGACAAUGGGCGCAAGCCUGAUCCAGCCAUGCCGCGUGAGUGAAGAAGGCCUUAGGGUCGUAAAGCUCUUUCGCCUGUGAUGAUAAUGACAGUAGCAGGUAAAGAAACCCCGGCUAACUCCGUGCCAGCAGCCGCGGUAAUACGGAGGGGGUUAGCGUUGUUCGGAAUUACUGGGCGUAAAGCGCGCGUAGGCGGAUUGGAAAGUUGGGGGUGAAAUCCCAGGGCUCAACCCUGGAACUGCCUCCAAAACUCCCAGUCUAGAGUUCGAGAGAGGUGAGUGGAAUUCCAAGUGUAGAGGUGAAAUUCGUAGAUAUUUGGAGGAACACCAGUGGC